UCCAUCAAAUGUUCAAGCAUUGCGGAUGACAAUUCCAACUUUGCUACAACUAUCUUUUCAUAUCUUUGCCUAUAAAUAGCAGCAGUAUGUAAAUCAUACUACACCAAACCAAAGCAGAAAAUAUUCAUCUGCAAUCUAGAGAGAGAGAGGAGCAGGUGAAGGGUUGAGAGAGAAGGUGAAUAGUAAAGUUACUGUUCAAGUGAAUAGUGACAGUCGCGAAUAGUGAAAUUCGUGAAUAGUGAAAAUUAGAUAGUAAUUUUCACGGGGUAUAACGGGUUGUGAGUUGAGUGUUGUGAGUGUUGUAAACACUGUGCAUUUUUCUCCCUUUAAAUAUAUCUGCAGCAGCUCCGGAGACGUAGGCAUAAUUGGCCGAACUCCGUUAUCAAAUUUGUGUCCUUAUUUUUCCGCAUUUAUUUCGCUCUCGCAUAUCUGGUUAGAGGGAAAUCGCAUAUAAUUUCCCAACAUCCAUGCAAUCCAAAAAGCCAAGAUAUGAGGAAAAGAAGAUCACGAAAGAAACAAAAUUUUCAAAGAUUGCAUGCUCAACCUUCCCCUCCAAUUCAAGAUUUCUGACUUCAAAGAUUUGCAGAUUUCUAGCAAAUCUUAUUUUUUUUCAAAAGUGUAGAUUUGCAGCUGACUUUCCUUCCAACUCCCUACACAAAUUUCAACCUUCAUAAUUUCCAUUGUCUACGGAAUCCACUUAUAAAUACAUAGCAUAUCAGUUAACACACAGCUCACUCCACUAGCAAUAACCACACCCGUGCAGAGGAAGUGAAGCCAACAAGCUUCAAAACAAACUUUGCAUACUUCUUAAGCUCAAGUGAGCUCCCUUCGCCAGGCUAUUUCUUCGCCGACCGGCCACUAGGCUCUGAACCGAGAACGUGUACUCGUUCCUCCAUCUUCAGGCUACCAAACCCAACAAUCGAAAGGCCAAAGCCUUCUCUAUAUUUUCCUGACCAAAGGCCGCAAUAUCCUUCGGAGGCCAACGUCGAAUUCCCGACUUAGCCACCGGCCAACUUACGGCUUUCGUUUCUCACUAUCCUUACGACGAAAAAGGAUUGAGAAAACACCGUUGUGUAGCCUGAUCUACCUCGCACGAGGAAGACUAAGUCGUAGACCUUCGCGGCUAAACACCAUCGCGGAACGACGACCAGAAAACCCCGACGAACAACUUCCAUUAGUGCUCACUUGGACAAGGGUUCAAAUAAACAAAAGCGUCUGAGUAACCUAUCGCGCUAAGGAAAGAGAAUCAUUGUCUUAAGUAGCAAAACACUGCAAUCAGGUGGGCAUUACUUUUACUAUACGUAUAUAGAGAUCCCCUGCGUGUCGUAGGCCUCUUAUACGAAUGAAUGCAUGAGAUGAUUUAACUGUUAAUUUCAGUUUUAUAUAUCUAUCAAACGAAUUUAAUGUUACAUUUAAACAAGAUAUUUCAUUACAAAAUCAUUGAACUGAAAAUUAUUUCAAUUGUUGUCUUGCCAUAAAUGUUUAAAUUUUAGUAUGAUAUCUAUCUGCUUUGGCUUUGCCAAUGAUGCAAUCGAAUUCGGGUCCUGAGCAGUUGAUAGCUAUCCUGCCAGGACUAGUGUACACCAGUGACCGUGAGUCAUCUAGCGGGUUGGCCGGUCAAGUGACCGUGAGAGGUGGCCACCUCUCCGGCACACAGUUUCAGAUAUGAUAGAUUACAAAAGAACUUAGUCUGAUCAGACGAACUUUAAGAAUCACAAAUGAACUUAGUAAGCUUGGGCCUUUUUAGCGAAAAACUCCCUUGCUGUACUGUUUGUGAUGGCAUGACAAUUUACAGUUUUAGAGCAUGUAUUUUUAUACCUAGGCAUACGUGCCCACUGAGUGCUUUUGUACUCAGCCCUGCAUAUGUUUUCUAAAUGUGCAGGUUGAGCUGAUGUGAUGAUGGUGCUGCAAUGAGCGGAGUCUCCAGGGUUGUUAAUAAAUAGUUAACCUGUCUAGAAUAUGUCUUCAUACAUAUGUCUAGCUACUUUCCGCUGCAAGAUGUUGUUGAUGUUAUAGUAUGUUAUGUCAUACUUUGAGUCUUAAGAGAAUGGUUUCAUAUGAUGUAUAACUUGAUUAAUGAUAUUAAUUAAGUUUUAUGCUGUCUUUCAUAGACUAUUUUCAA